GAUGAACGCUGGCGGCGUGCCUAAUACAUGCAAGUCGAGCGAACAGACGAGGAGCUUGCUCCUCUGACGUUAGCGGCGGACGGGUGAGUAACACGUGGAUAACCUACCUAUAAGACUGGGAUAACUUCGGGAAACCGGAGCUAAUACCGGAUAAUAUAUUGAACCGCAUGGUUCAAUAGUGAAAGACGGUUUUGCUGUCACUUAUAGAUGGAUCCGCGCCGCAUUAGCUAGUUGGUAAGGUAACGGCUUACCAAGGCAACGAUGCGUAGCCGACCUGAUAGGGUGAUCGGCCACACUGGAACUGAGACACGGUCCAGACUCCUACGGGAGGCAGCAGUAGGGAAUCUUCCGCAAUGGGCGAAAGCUUGACGGAGCAACGCCGCGUGAGUGAUGAAGGUCUUCGGAUCGUAAAACUCUGUUAUUAGGGAAGAACAAAUGUGUAAGUAACUAUGCACGUCUUGACGGUACCUAAUGAGAAAGCCACGGCUAACUACGUG
rnacentral:rRNA from 1 species